CUAAAGUGCAGAAGUAUGAACAGCACAGCAAUAACAAUGUGAAAAAUCCGUCAACUGUUACCUGCACUACAAAUCAAUUGAAUUUUCCAGGAAAAGACACAGGGUCUUGAUGAAUUGAGCACGAAUUGGGAUUCCUGUCAGGAAGAUGGAAGGAGGUUCUCGUUCAGCAAGCAGCACUCUGGAACAAGCAGAUGUCUUGAAAUGGUAAUGGCAUCUAAUAUUAGUCAUGCACUUUCUGAAGAAACUGUCUUCAACAAUCAAGCUCCAGGAUGGUUCACAAGAGAACUGUUGAAAGAACUGAAUGGGGGAACAAGAGUUGUAUGGCGCAUCUGAACUCAUGCAUGAAAAAAUCGACACAUGGAAUGUAAACGGUUGGCCACCCCUGCCCUAAAGAUUAACCUCAAGGAUGAGUUGGUGAAGAAGUGCCAAGGGAAGUGGUUUCUCUGAAGCUACCGAUCUGCUCUACCUCAGAGAUGUUAGGGGAGCGUUAAAAGACUUAUAACAGAGUUAUAAAUAAAAAUGAAUAGGCGAGCCUGUGGAAAAAAAUCAUAUAAUUUAUUCUUUUGAAUAAAAGUGGUGCAGUCUGAUUUACUUGUUUGCCGCACUGCGACAGCUCUGAAGUUUCGAUACCUUGUGGGGGGCGUUGCCUGAGUUGUCUGCUGCCACUGGCCUGAAUAUCGAUCUCUGGAAACUCUCGGGAACAGCAGCUAAAGAAAAGGUCGACGACAAACUAGAGACACAGAUCAGAGGAAAUGUGAAGUGGAGGUGUUAUCUGGGGAAUGAGGAAGAAGUUUGUCCAUGAAGAAUCAGUCCCAAAAUUUCAUUCAACAUUCCCAGCAUCUCUUUUCCUUUGGGGAUCUAUAGCAUCAAUUCCGCUCUGUCUUUGUAUCGAAUGAUUCAGCCUUGGUGCAAUUAUUACCAGACAGAGGCCAUAUUUUUAUGAUUUACUAAUUAUUAAUUAAGGAAGAAUAUAUUUGAAGUUUUGAGUGCAAUCUUUGUGUUGCUGAUCUUUGCUACAUUAACACCAUGGUAUAGACAGUUGACUAAGUGCAUUAACU